CCUACGGGGCGCAGCAGUGAGGAAUAUUGGUCAAUGGACGGAAGUCUGAACCAGCCAUGCCGCGUGCAGGAAGACGGCUCUAUGAGUUGUAAACUGCUUUUGUACAAGGGUAAACCUGAAUACGUGUAUUCAGCUGAAAGUACUGUACGAAUAAGGAUCGGCUAACUCCGUGCCAGCAGCCGCGGUAAUACGGAGGAUCCAAGCGUUAUCCGGAUUUAUUUGGUUUAAAGGGUGCGUAGGCGGAUUGAUUAGUUAGAGGUGAAAUGUCCGGGCUUAACUCGGGAACUGCCUUUAAUACUGUUGAUGUAGAGAGAGAAUGCGGUAGGCGGAAUGUAAGGUGUAGCGGUGAAAUGCUUAGAGAUAAGACAGAACACCGAUGGCGAAGGCAGCUUACCAGU
rnacentral:rRNA from 1 species